rnacentral:lncRNA from 1 species
CGUAAAAAAAUUCUCCCAUGUUUGAUUUCGGUUCUCGUAUUUAUAAUGGGAGGGGUGGUGAGAGAUAUUUUGAGGGAUUCUAAAUUCGAAUUUAAAUUUUGAAUAGGUUGUUGGAUGGUUGGAGGAUUUUUGGGAAUUGGUUGGAGAUUCGAAAUUCGAAAUCGAAUUUUGAAUCGGUUGUUGGAUGGUUGAAGGAUAUUUUGGAGAGUCGGUUAGGGAUUCAAAAUUCAAAAUCGAAUUUUGAAUCGGUUGUUAGGUAGUUAGGUAUUCAAAAUUCGAAUGGAUGUUGGUUGGGGAUUCGAAAUUCAAAAUUGAAUUUUGAAUGGGUUGUGGGAUGGAUAGGUAUUCAAAAUUCAAAUGAAUGUUGGUUGAGAGAUAUUUUGGGAGUUGGUUCGAAGUUCGAAAUCGAAUUUCGAAUAGGGUUAUUAGGAUAACAGAUAUUUUCUUGGGGUUUAAAAAUUUAAAAUCGAAUUUGAAUAUGAUAUUCGAAAUUGAAUUUUCAAACGUGGGUGAAAAUGUGGGCCGUGAUCCCAUGAAUUGAGCUAAAAUU